rnacentral:rRNA from 1 species
UACGGGGGGGGCAAGCGUUGUUCGGAAUUACUGGGCGUAAAGGGCUCGUAGGUGGCCAACUAAGUCAGACGUGAAAUCCCUCGGCUUAACCGGGGAACUGCGUCUGAUACUGGAUGGCUUGAGUUUGGGAGAGGGACGCGGAAUUCCAGGUGUAGCGGUGAAAUGCGUAGAUAUCUGGAGGAACACCGGUGGCGAAGGCGGCGACCUGGUCCAUUACUGACGCUGAGGCGCGACAGCGUGGGGAGCAAACAGG